rnacentral:lncRNA from 12 species
CGGUGGUCUAGCACAGGUCUGCCCAGAUCCAUCCCCUGCUGUCCCAGCCUCUGCUGACCGCCCCUGCAGGAGCCUGGCCGGCAUGGAAAGCAUUCAGGCUGGAAAGAUAUCCUGCAGAUCCAACUUCCUGUACUACAAGAGACUGAGGGCACCAUGUUGAUAAAUAUCUUCAAGGGGAAAAUGACAGCUGAAAUUGGCUACAAUGACAUUGCAAGGAUGUAAUGAGAAAAAUAAAAA